GGUCCGUUGGUCAAGGGGUUAAGACACCGCCUUUUCACGGCGGUAACACGGGUUCGAAUCCCGUACAGACUA
rnacentral:tRNA from 1 species